GAUGAACGCUAGCUACAGGCUUAACACAUGCAAGUCGAGGGGCAGCAUAUUUAUAGCAAUAUAAAUGAUGGCGACCGGCGCACGGGUGAGUAACACGUAUCCAACCUGCCGUUUACUCGGGGAUAGCCUUUCGAAAGAAAGAUUAAUACCCGCUGGUAUAUAUUGAUUUCAUGGUCUUUAUAUUAAAGAAUUUCGGUAACCGAUGGGGAUGCGUUCCAUUAGGUAGUUGGCGGGGUAACGGCCCACCAAACCUACGAUGGAUAGGGGUUCUGAGAGGAAGGUCCCCCAGAUUAGAACUGAGACACGGUCCAAACUCGUACGGGAGGCAGCGGUGAGGAAUAUUGGUCAAUGGUCGUAGGCCUGAGCCAGCCAAGUAGCGUGAAGAAUGACUGCCCUAUGGAUUGUAAACUUCUUUUAUAAGGGAAUAAAGUGGAGUAUGUAUACUCUUUUGUAUGUACCUUAUGAAUAAGGAACGGCUUACUCCGUGCCAGCAGCCGCCGUAA
rnacentral:rRNA from 1 species